CAAUAGCGUAUAUUAAAGUUGUUGCGGUUAAAAAGCUCGUAGUUGGAUUUCUGCUGAGGACGACCGGUCCGCCCUCCGGGUGAGCAUCUGGUUCGGCCUUGGCAUCUUCUUGGUGAACGUAUCUGCACUUGACUGUGUGGUGCGGUACCCAGGACUUUUACUUUGAGGAAAUUAGAGUGUUUCAAGCAGGCAUACGCCUUGAAUACAUUAGCAUGGAAUAAUAAGAUAGGACCUCGGUUCUAUUUUGUUGGUUUCUAGAGCUGAGGUAAUGAUGAACAGGGACAGUUGGGGGUAUUUGUAUUUCGUUGUCAGAGGUGAAAUUCUUAGAUUUACGAAAGACAAACUACUGCGAAAGCAUUUACCAAGGAUGUUUUCAUUGAUCAAGAACGAAAGUAUGGGGAUCGAAGACGAUCAGAUACCAU
rnacentral:rRNA from 1 species